ACGGAAGGCAGCAGUGGGGAAUAUUGGACAAUGGAGGCAACUCUGAUCCAGCGACGCCGCGUGAGUGAAGAAGUAUUUCGGUAUGUAAAGCUCUAUCAGCAGGGAAGAUAAUGACGGUACCUGACUAAGAAGCCCCGGCUAACUACGUGCCAGCAGCCGCGGUAAUACGUAGGGGGCAAGCGUUAUCCGGAUUUACUGGGUGUAAAGGGAGCGUAGGCGGCCAGACAAGUCAGAUGUGAAAGCCCGGGGCUCAACUCCGGUACUGCAUUUGAAACUGCCAGGCUUGAGUGCAGGAGAGGCAAGCGGAAUUCCUAGUGUAGCGGUGAAAUGCGUAGAUAUUAGGAGGAACACCAGUGGCGAAGGCGGCUUACUGGACUGUAACUGACGUUGAGGCUCGAAAGCGUGGGGAGCAAACAGGAUUAGAUACCCUGGUA
rnacentral:rRNA from 1 species